GUUCUGUCUCUAACAAACUAUGGCGUCUUGGGUGACUUACCUCACCCUUUUGACUUCCACACUCACAUAAACUGAGACAGCUCAAUUUCCUUUCAGAGUUCUGUGAGCUCUAAGUGUUUAACGAGUGCACAAGCCCUGCAAACGCGGGCAUUUUAAGACCAACAUCAUAUGGAAAAGGAUCUUAGAAACAAAGCUCACCUUCUCAGCACAAGGAGUGCUCUGUGGGCUUGGAGUCUGGCGAUGACAGAGACAGGCACAAUGUGGAGAUCUGGGACGAGGAGCAAAGGCAGAGCCUGUAAGAACUACUAA
rnacentral:lncRNA from 1 species